rnacentral:rRNA from 1 species
AGCGAACGCUGGCGGCAGGCCUAACACAUGCAAGUCGAACGAACCCUUCGGGGUUAGUGGCGGACGGGUGAGUAACACGUGGGAACGUGCCUUUAGGUUCGGAAUAACUCAGGGAAACUUGUGCUAAUACCGAAUGUGCCCUUCGGGGGAAAGAUUUAUCGCCUUUAGAGCGGCCCGCGUCUGAUUGGCUAGUUGGUGAGGUAAUGGCCCACCCAGGCUACGAUCAGUAGCUGGUCUGAGAGGAUGACCAGCCACAUUGGGACUGAGACACGGCCCAAACUCCUACGGGAGGCAGCAGUGGGGAAUCUUGCGCAAUGGGCGAAAGCCUGACGCAGCCAUGCCGCGUGGAUGAUGAAGGUCUUAGGAUUGUAAAAUCCUUUCACCGGUGAAGAUAAUGACUGUAGCCGGAGAAGAAGCCCCGGCUAACUUCGUGCCAGCAGCCGCCGUAACAC